rnacentral:rRNA from 1 species
GACGAACGCUGGCGGCGUGCCUAAUACAUGCAAGUAGAACGCUGAAGGAGGAGCUUGCUUCUCUGGAUGAGUUGCGAACGGGUGAGUAACGCGUAGGUAACCUGCCUGGUAGCGGGGGAUAACUAUUGGAAACGAUAGCUAAUACCGCAUAAGAGUAGAUGUUGCAUGACAUUUGCUUAAAAGGUGCAAUUGCAUCACUACCAGAUGGACCUGCGUUGUAUUAGCUAGUUGGUGGGGUAACGGCUUACCAAGGCGACGAUACAUAGCCGACCUGAGAGGGUGAUCGGCCAAACUGGGACUGAGACACGGCCCAGACUCCUACGGGAGGCAGCAGUAGGGAAUCUUCGGCAAUGGACGGAAGUCUGACCGAGCAACGCCGCGUGAGUGAAGAAGGUUUUCGGAUCGUAAAGCUCUGUUGUAAGAGAAGAACGAGUGUGAGAGUGGAAAGUUCACACUGUGACGGUAUCUGACCAGAAAGGGACGGCUAACUACGUG